rnacentral:rRNA from 1 species
AUUGAAGAGUUUGAUCAUGGCUCAGAUUGAACGCUGGCGGCAGGCCUAACACAUGCAAGUCGAGCGGUAGCACAGAGAGCUUGCUCUCGGGUGACGAGCGGCGGACGGGUGAGUAAUGUCUGGGAAACUGCCUGAUGGAGGGGGAUAACUACUGGAAACGGUAGCUAAUACCGCAUAAUGUCGCAAGACCAAAGUGGGGGACCUUCGGGCCUCAUGCCAUCAGAUGUGCCCAGAUGGGAUUAGCUAGUAGGUGGGGUAACGGCUCACCUAGGCGACGAUCCCUAGCUGGUCUGAGAGGAUGACCAGCCACACUGGAACUGAGACACGGUCCAGACUCCUACGGGAGGCAGCAGUGGGGAAUAUUGCACAAUGGGCGCAAGCCUGAUGCAGCCAUGCCGCGUGUGUGAAGAAGGCCUUCGGGUUGUAAAGCACUUUCAGCGGGGAGGAAGGCGUUAAGGUUAAUAACCUUGGCGAUUGACGUUACCCGCAGAAGAAGCACCGGCUAACUCCGUGCCAGCAGCCGCGGUAAUACGGAGGGUGCAAGCGUUAAUCGGAAUUACUGGGCGUAAAGCGCACGCAGGCGGUCUGUCAAGUCGGAUGUGAAAUCCCCGGGCUCAACCUGGGAACUGCAUUCGAAACUGGCAGGCUAGAGUCUUGUAGAGGGGGGUAGAAUUCCAGGUGUAGCGGUGAAAUGCGUAGAGAUCUGGAGGAAUACCGGUGGCGAAGGCGGCCCCCUGGACAAAGACUGACGCUCAGGUGCGAAAGCGUGGGGAGCAAACAGGAUUAGAUACCCUGGUAGUCCACGCCGUAAACGAUGUCGAUUUGGAGGUUGUGCCCUUGAGGCGUGGCUUCCGGAGCUAACGCGUUAAAUCGACCGCCUGGGGAGUACGGCCGCAAGGUUAAAACUCAAAUGAAUUGACGGGGGCCCGCACAAGCGGUGGAGCAUGUGGUUUAAUUCGAUGCAACGCGAAGAACCUUACCUGGUCUUGACAUCCACAGAACUUUCCAGAGAUGGAUUGGUGCCUUCGGGAACUGUGAGACAGGUGCUGCAUGGCUGUCGUCAGCUCGUGUUGUGAAAUGUUGGGUUAAGUCCCGCAACGAGCGCAACCCUUAUCCUUUGUUGCCAGCG